UUGUGGCACCUGGAGGCCCAGGACGGUUGAACUACAUUCCACAAUUCCUCUUCAUUACUGGGUUUUGCUUCAGAAACCGCAUUUAGGAUGUCACCUCACCAGUGUUCUAUGGGAUUAAGGUCCGGG